rnacentral:miRNA from 1 species
GCUUGAUGGUAUUAUCUGACUUGUUACAAGGUUGUUCUGACAAGUUUGAUACGGUCAUAAUGUUACAAGAUUGACGACACAAGGUUAUAACAAUAUUGUUACAUCAUGCUGUAUCGGACUUGUUGGAACAACCUUGCAACAAGUCCGCUGAUAUCAACAAGU